UAUUGGUCAAUGGGCGUAAGCCUGAACCAGCCAUCCCGCGUGCAGGAAGACGGCGCUAUGCGUUGUAACCUGCUUUUCCAGGGGGUGAAACUCUCGUACGCGUACGGGAUUGACGGUACCCUGUGAAUAAGCAUCGGCUAACUCCGUGCCAGCAGCCGCGGUAAUACGGAGGAUGCGAGCGUUAUCCGGAUUUAUUGGGUUUAAAGGGUGCGUAGGCGGAUUAAUAAGUCAGUGGUGAAAACCUGCAGCUUAACUGUGGAACUGCCAUUGAUACUGUUAGUCUUGAGUGUGGUCAAGGCAGGCGGAAUGUGUAAUGUAGCGGUGAAAUGCUUAGAUAUUACACAGAACACCGAUUGCGAAGGCAGCUUGCUGGACCAUUACUGACGCUGAUGCACGAAAGCGUGGGGAUCGAACAGG
rnacentral:rRNA from 1 species